CCUACGGGUGGCAGCAGUCGAGAAUCAUUCACAAUGGGGGAAACCCUGAUGGUGCGACGCCGCGUGGGGGAAUGAAGGUCUUCGGAUUGUAAACCCCUGUCAUGUGGGAGCAAAUUAAAAAGAUAGUACCACAAGAGGAAGAGACGGCUAACUCUGUGCCAGCAGCCGCGGUACUACAGAGGUCUCAAGCGGUGUUCGGCAUCACUGGGCGUAAAGCGUGCGUAGGCUGUUUCGUAAGUCGUGUGUGAAAGGCGCGGGCUCAACCCGCGGACGGCACAUGAGACUGCGAGACUAGAGUAAUGGAGGGGGAACCGGAAUUCUCGGUGUAGCAGUGAAAUGCGUAGAUAUCGAGAGGAACACUCGUGGCGAAGGCGGGUUCCUGGACAUUAACUGACGCUGAGGCACGAAGGCCAGGGGAGCGAAAGGGAUUAGAUACCCGUGUAGUC
rnacentral:rRNA from 1 species